rnacentral:rRNA from 1 species
AAUAUUGGUCAAUGGACGCAAGUCUGAACCAGCCACGUCGCGUGAAGGAAGACGGCCCUACGGGUUGUAAACUUCUUUUGUAAGGGAAUAAAGUGAGUAACUUGUGACUUUUUGUAUGUACCUUACGAUAAAGGCUCGGCUAACUCCGUGCCAGCUGCCGCGGUAAUACGGAGGAUCCGAGCGUUAACCGGAUUUAUUGGGUUUAAAGGGUGCGCAGGCGGGAGAUUAAGUAGGCGGUGAAAUUUUGCAGCUCAACUGUAAAAGUGACUUCGAAACCGGUUUCCUUGAGUGUAGAUGAAGUAGGCGGAAUUUGUGGUGUAGCGGUGAAAUACAUAGAUAUCACGAGGAACUCCGAUUGCGCAGGCAGCUUACUAAGCUACUACUGACGCUCAGGCACGAAGGCGUGGGGAUCAAACAGG